rnacentral:rRNA from 1 species
CAGAGUAUCAAUUGGAGGGCAAGUCUGGUGCCAGCAGCCGCGGUAAUUCCAGCUCCAAUAGCGUAUAUUAAAAUUGUUGCAGUUAAAAAGCUCGUAGUUGAAUUUCUGCUGCAUUGCUUUUGCUCCUUUACGAGUCUUUGCAUUGUGGCUUAUUUCGGACUUUGUUUUACAAUGUCCGGAUGUUUACUUUGAGAAAAUUAGAGUGCUCAAAGCAGGCUUUCGCCUUGAAUAGUUUAGCAUGGAAUAAUAAAGUAGGACUUUGGUUCUAUUUUGUUGGUUUUAGGUACCAAAGUAAUGGUUAAUAGGAACAGUUGGGGGCAUUCGUAUUUAACUGUCAGAGGUGAAAUUCUUAGAUUUGUUAAAGACGAACUACUGCGAAAGCAUUUGCCAAGGAUGUUUUCAUUAAUCAAGAACGAAAGUUAGGGGAUCGAAGACGAUCAGAUACCGUCGUAGUCCU